rnacentral:rRNA from 1 species
CCAGACUCCUACGGGAGGCAGCAGUGGGGAAUAUUGCACAAUGGGGGAAACCCUGAUGCAGCGACGCCGCGUGAGUGAAGAAGUAUCUCGGUACGUAAAGCUCUAUCAGCAGGGAAGAAAAAAAGUCCUUCGGACUUUGGGCGGUACCUGGUUAAGAAGCCCCGGCUAACUACGUGCCAGCAGCCGCGGUAAUACGUAGGGGGCAAGCGUUAUCCGGAUUCACUGGGUGUAAAGGGAGCGUAGACGGCGACGCAAGUCUGGAGUGAAAGCCCGGGGCCCAACCCCGGGACUGCUCUGGAAACUGCGUCGCUGGAGUACGGGAGGGGCAGGCGGAAUUCCUGGUGUAGCGGUGAAAUGCGUAGAUAUCAGGAGGAACACCGGCGGCGAAAGCGGCUCUCUGGCCUGUAACUGACACUGAGGCUCGAAAGCGUGGGGAGCAAACAGGAUUAGAUACCCGAGUA